CAUUAAUGGAGUUCCUGUACGUUAAAUAUUUAGUUAUGUCACUAAGGACCGAGCAUUUUGUCAACAGAUAGCGGCAACAGCAAUGGCCGCCGUACGUAACGUAAAGUACACAUAGCUGGUUGGUGUAUGUAGUGUCAUUUAUGACGUCAAAAUAUUCAUCACAUACUUUGGUGACGUCAUCAGUUCAUGAGGUGACUCAUUUUCGCAAGGUCGUCCGGGAGACCUCGACAGGCGUGAUGCAUACCUGGUGGACCGUUGUCGACGAUCUUGUUCUCUUUCUUCCAUUUCAUCCUGCGAUUCUGGAACCAGAUUUUAAUUUGGCGUUCCGUCAAACACAGCGAGUGAGCGAUCUCUAUCCGCCUCCUUCUGGUCAGGUACCUGUUGAAGUGAAAUUCUUUCUCGAGUUCCAAAGUUUGGUAGCGUGUGUAUGUUUGGCGCCCACGUUUUCUCUCUGG
rnacentral:antisense_RNA from 1 species